rnacentral:lncRNA from 12 species
CCCCCCCCCCCCCCCCCCCCCCCCCCCCCCCCCCCCCCCCCCCCCCCCCCCCCCCCCCCCCCCCCCCCCCCCCCCAGGAGGAGGAGGAGGAGGAGGAGGAGGAGGAGGAGGAGGAGGAUUCAGGAGCUGAUCCCUGCCCCGAUCCCGGAGCCGAUCCCGGAGCCGAUCCCGGAGCCGAUGGGGCUCUCCAGGCGCCCCCACGCCGCCGGCGCCCGCUCAGCUCCGAGGGGCUGGAGCCAGAGGCCGAGGAAGGGAUCCCAGCACAGGUGAGCAACGGCGAGGCCGGAGGAGAGUCCCAGAUCCGGAACCGCACCUGGAAGAGGGAGAGCAUCUGCAGAGGGGAGCGUUUCUCCUUCCCGGCCGUGGAGGACGAGGUCAUCUACGACGACGUUCCGUGUGAGGGGCUGGAUGCGGAGCAGGACGGCGCGGGGCUGAUCUACACCGAGGUGCAGCGCGGGGAGGGGACGCGCCUGGGCCAGGACCUGGGCUGGAGCUCCAGCGACUUCGAGAGCUACAGCGACUCCGGGGAGGAAUCGCGGCCGGAAUCGCGGCGGGACAGCGAGCGCGCCAAGCUGCGGGCGGCCUUCCAGCCCCGUUCUUCUCCCAGCGUGGAAUUAAACUCUGGGAACGGCAGGGCCAGAACCUUCCCUGCAACUCCUGCCCUUCCCUGCAAUUCCUGUCCUUCCCUGGAAUUCCUGUCCUUCCCCUGGAAUUCCUGUCCUUCCAGCCCCGGCUCUCUCCAGACCUCCAAAAACUCAAGGAAAAAUGCGCCAGGACUAAGAGGGAGCUCCUGGCUCUGAGAGUUGGGGGGAAGGAAAUGCAGGAGCUGAAGCACAAAUCCGAUUGGAAGGUACCGAUGCCAUCCCGAAAUUCCCGAAAUUCCCAGCGUGGGGGGGACAAAAUUCCCAUCAUGGAAUGAAUCCAGGCUGGGCUCACCCCAUUCCCGUCCCAAAAAAUCAGCCUGGAGCUGCCAAGGGAUUCAGGGAUUCGGGAGGGGAUUCAGGAAUUUGGGAAGGAAUUGAGGAAUUCAGGAAUUCAGGAAUCCAGGAAGGAAUUCAGGAAUUCUGGAGGGAAGGAGGGAAGUAAGGAAUUCAAGAAUUCAGAAAGGAAUUUGGGAAUUCAGGUAGGAAUAGAGGAAGGAAUUGAAGAAUUCAGGAGGGAAGGAAGGGAUUGAGGAAGGGAUUGAGGAAUUUGGGGUGGAAUUCAGGGAGGAAUGAAGGAAUUCAAUAAUUCAGGAAUUCAGGAAGGAAUUCAGAAAUUCAGGAAGUAAUUGAAGAAUUCAGGAAGCAAUUCAGGAAUUCAGGAAGCAAUUCAGGAAGGAAUUUAGGAAUUGAGGAAUUGAGGAAGGGAUUCAGGAAUCCAAGAGGGAAGGGGGGAAUACAGGAAGGAAGGAAGAAGAAUUUUGGGAGUUGUGGAACUUCAGGGCAGAGCCUUUCCCACCCCAUCCCAUUCCCGCUGGCUUUCCAUGGGGU